CGGACGGGUGAGUAACACGUGGAUAACCUACCUAUAAGACUGGGAUAACUUCGGGAAACCGGAGCUAAUACCGGAUAAUAUAUUGAACCGCAUGGUUCAAUAGUGAAAGACGGUUUUGCUGUCACUUAUAGAUGGAUCCGCGCCGCAUUAGCUAGUUGGUAAGGUAACGGCUUACCAAGGCAACGAUGCGUAGCCGACCUGAGAGGGUGAUCGGCCACACUGGAACUGAGACACGGUCCAGACUCCUACGGGAGGCAGCAGUAGGGAAUCUUCCGCAAUGGGCGAAAGCCUGACGGAGCAACGCCGCGUGAGUGAUGAAGGUCUUCGGAUCGUAAAACUCUGUUAUUAGGGAAAGAACCAAAAUGGUGUAAAGUAACUUAUGCCACGUCUUUGACCGGUACCUUAAUCAGAAAAGCCACGGGCUAACUUACGUGCCCAGCAGCCGCCGGUAAUACGUAGGUGGCAAAGCGUUAUCCCGGAAUUAUUGGGGCGUAAAGCGCGCGUAGGCGGUUUUUUUAAGUCUGAUGUGAAAGCCCACGGCUCAACCGUGGAGGGUCAUUGGAAACUGGAAAACUUGAGUGCAGAAGAGGAAAGUGGAAUUCCAUGUGUAGCGGUGAAAUGCGCAGAGAUAUGGAGGAACACCAGUGGCGAAGGCGACUUUCUGGUCUGUAACUGACGCUGAUGUGCGAAAGCGUGGGGAUCAAACAGGAUUAGAUACCCUGGUAGUCCACGCCGUAAACGAUGAGUGCUAAGUGUUUAGGGGGUUUCCCGCCCCUUAGUGCUGCAGCUAACGCAUUAAGCACUCCGCCUGGGGGAGUACGACCGCCAAGGUUGAAACUCAAAGGGAAUUGACGGGGGACCCCGCACAAGCCGGUGGAAGCAUGUGGGUUUAAUUUCGAAGCAACCGCGAAGAAACCUUACCAAAUCUUGACAUCCUCUGACCCCUCUAGAGAUAGAGUUUUCCCCUUCGGGGGACAGAGUGACAGGUGGUGCAUGGUUGUCGUCAGCUCGUGUCGUGAGAUGUUGGGUUAAGUCCCGCAACGAGCGCAACCCUUAAGCUUAGUUGCCAUCAUUAAGUUGGGCACUCUAAGUUGACUGCCGGUGACAAACCGGAGGAAGGUGGGGAUGACGUCAAAUCAUCAUGCCCCUUAUGAUUUGGGCUACACACGUGCUACAAUGGACAAUACAAAGGGCAGCGAAACCGCGAGGUCAAGCAAAUCCCAUAAAGUUGUUCUCAGUUCGGAUUGUAGUCUGCAACUCGACUAUAUGAAGCUGGAAUCGCUAGUAAUCGUAGAUCAGCAUGCUACGGUGAAUACGUUCCCGGGUCUUGUACACACCGC
rnacentral:rRNA from 1 species